CCUACGGGUAGCAGCAGUGGGGAAUAUUGGACAAUGGGCGAAAGCCUGAUCCAGCCAUGCCGCGUGUGUGAAGAAGGCCUUCGGGUUGUAAAGCACUUUCAGUGGGGAAGAAAGCCUUGGGGCUAAUACCCUCGAGGAAGGACAUCACCCACAGAAGAAGCACCGGCUAACUCCGUGCCAGCAGCCGCGGUAAUACGGAGGGUGCGAGCGUUAAUCGGAAUUACUGGGCGUAAAGCGCGCGUAGGCGGUCUGAUAAGCCGGUUGUGAAAGCCCCGGGCUCAACCUGGGAACGGCAUCCGGAACUGUCAGGCUAGAGUGCAGGAGAGGAAGGUAGAAUUCCCGGUGUAGCGGUGAAAUGCGUAGAGAUCGGGAGGAAUACCAGUGGCGAAGGCGGCCUUCUGGACUGACACUGACGCUGAGGUGCGAAAGCGUGGGUAGCAAACAGGAUUAGAUACCCCGGUAGUC
rnacentral:rRNA from 1 species